UUGGUUUGUUUAUGUUUUGAUUCGGGUCGCGUUGGUUUCGCGAUGCUUACUCGAGUUUCGAUACCUGAAAUAUUAAUCCUUAAUCCUGCGCAGCGGAGACGUCAGGCGGCGGCCGAGUCAUUAUAUAUAAAUUGCUGGAAAUGCUGUCGAGCGUCACGAGAGUGGUCGGCCGACUCCUGUCGUCAGCAACAACAGCCAUGACCACUAAGGCCGACGACUUCCUCUUCAGACAGCUGUUUGACCGUGAGAGCUGCACCUGCUGACCGACCUGGGCCGUGCUGAUCGACCCUGAGCUCGAACUGACCGAAAGGGAUGCCCAACUCUCAUCUCGCAACUCGGACUCACCCUCAAAUACGCAAUGAACACGACACACACGCCCACGUCACGGACAGCGAGCUCGUCGAGUUCAGACGCCACAAACUCAUCACGCUCGGACACAGCAACGGAACUGGUGCAUGGCAUUCACCGAGGACACGCUGCUGAUCUUCCAGGAAGGCAGUCCGACCACCCUGUAUUAGUCGGACCACUCCAAAAUCUUCUCGCUGCCUCUUGAAUUAAAACUCUACUCGGUAAACGAUUACAAAGGUUUGACCGAGACGACUGUUGGCGAGGAGUUCAACGCCCGGCUGACGAAGCUUCAGAAGGAGUUCUUGGACAUCAUGGACCACCUGAACCUGCCGUACCCCAAGAUGAUUGACAAGGCCGUACCCGCCAACCACGUCUGUUGCCUUCAGUUCCGAAAACAACGCACGUAGUGUCUAUUUUUUACGAUUCUGAUUGGCCGCUGGACUGUUAUCCUGAUUGGCCUGCAUUAUUUCGACGCCAUAUUGACUUAUAAUUUAAUAGAAAUAUUUUCAAAUAUUAGAAAAUCCAAAAUAUUUUAUUUUUUAAAAGAAAAUUGAUAAAAUUCUGGAAUUUAUUAUAUGUUUUCAAGAAAGAAAGCCUUUAUUUCCUAAAUAAACACAACUUACCACGUAAAAAUCGACUCUUCUCGUUUUGGCGGUCUGUGGCCCAGUGUGGUGACGGCGAGGAUCGACCCGCGCAGAGAGCAGCAUGUUAGCCUUGAUAUCAUGAAAAGAGCAAGCUGCCUGUUCGUCCGCCUCGCUCCAUCCCUCGGUUCAGCAGCCAAACGAAUGAAUUCGACUGACAAUGAGCCAUUCCGGCAGCUUUUGUUGCAAUUAUAAUCAAGUCUCGGGGUGAUUUUUAUUUUCUUUCCUCUUAAUUCAUGAAAUUUUGUAUUGAAUAGUUUACAAAAAUGCUGAAAUAAGAA